rnacentral:tRNA from 1 species
GGCAGCACGUGGCCGAAGACGCCGACGGCGUGGUGGUGACCACGCCGCACGCGCGCCUGCGGUUCGAUUUCGUGGUGCUGUCG